GGUGCAGCUGAGGCUUCCCAGAGUCAAAGGAAGGAAACUUCCCAGGAGGCUUUCCCCACCAGCAGAGCCUGUUCUUUCCAGGCUUUCCUCUCAACACAGCUGGCAUAGUUUGAUGUUAUCAGGGAUGACCUUGGCUGGAGAAGGGCCUUUGCUGUGCUCUGGAGUUUCCAGCAGGCUCAAAUCCACAUUCUCUCUGGCCUCAGAAAAUCAGCUCUGACCUGGCUGUCCUCUUCAUCUCCUCACUUUGCUCCUGUCUUCCCUGCACCAAGGCAUCCCAUCCCACCGUGGGCUGGCCGAGGGGACACAUCUGGAUCACGCAUCCAGCUGUGCCUGGCCAGAGCCACCUGACCUUGCGGCAUCAGGUCCGGAGCAGCCGCAGGAAGUCGAGGGGGUUUGGAAGUGGCAUUUCCCAGCCAACUUCCAGCCUGGCACAAAGUAGCGCAGCAAAAGCUCUGGAGGGCAGCUACGGCUGGAGCACCCUUGGUGAGAGGCAGAAUUCAGGGCUUGGGCGAGUCCCCUGCCAGGGUGGGUGUCCCAGGGCGAAAGCGGCGAUGCCAGGCUGUGCCGGAGGAGCCUCAGCUGAACGCAGUGCCGUGGGGCAGGGUCACCCCCAAUGUCCCCAUGCAGGGCCUGGUGGCCAGCAGGAUUGUCCCAGUGCCACCAGGUGGCAGCUCCUGUUCAGGGACCCGUCAGCACCGCGCCAUGGCUGGCACAUCCAGCUUUGGUCCAAGCUGCAUCCGAGGGCUGAGCGCAGCCCUGCAGCUGCCCACGCUGCAUCAGACUACUGUCCCCCGGUGUCCUUCCCUUUAUAACACCCGCCUGCCUGUAGGAUUUAUGGCCUGGGAGCUCCAUGGGGUGUGUAGGGACACGCACAGAAGAGGUUUGGUACCUGCAAGUGCCACUCUUGCAGCUACAAAGUGUGUGCAAAGGUGCAGCCUCGGCUUGGCAUGGUGCUGAAGGCAGCACAACUGGAGGGACCAACGGCAGCGUCGGGUCUGAUGUCCUGAGAGAUGCUUCAGACACAGCAACCUCUCCUUGUGCAUGGACAUGAUUCCCAGUGCCAGCCAGGAGCUCCGGGGUCUGCCAGAUUCAAACAGGGACGUCUGAUUUGGGGAUGAAAUACACAACUGUGCUUUAACAUGUCUGGAAGCUGCUGUUGCCUCAGCCCUGCUUUUUUGGGAAGCUAUUGGUGAGUACCAUGAGCCAUUAUUACAGCCACAUCCGACUCCUGGGCUUCCCCAGGAAUUAACAGCCUCUAAAUAUUCCCUGCCAGGUUGUGGGAAACAAAUCCACUUGUCACCCAGGAACUCUUGAGGUGUCACCUUCCUGGCAGGGCUUCGAAUCUUUUGUUUGGUUUCCACCUCUUCCCUUAUUGCGGUGUGGCUGCUGGCCUGCCUAGCAGAAGCAGGGGCUGUGUCCUGCUGCAUGUUCUCAUGCACGUAGCUCCUCGACUGGGGCAGGGGCUGAAGCAGGAGGAAGCGGACGGGCGCUUGCUGGGACGGGGAUGCCCCGUGGGGGCGAGCGGGCAGUGCAGAGCCCAUCUCGUCCCUGCUUCUGGUCAACCCUGUUCUCCGGAGCCUGGCUGUGCAGAGCAGGGUUGGGCUGACCAGGGGUGGGGAUGAGAUGGGCUCUGCACCAUGUCCCGGGGCUUGGGGUGCCUGCGAGCGCUGGCAGCCAAGACCAAACCCAACCAGGUGCCGGAGGGAGCCACUGCACGUGCCACACCUGGCUCCAAGGCAGCCUGGUGCCAUGCUGGCACAUCCAGAUUGUCAACCUUGUCUCUCUUGUUCCCAGGCAAGAAUCAGAGGCAACGAGCAGCCAGAGCUGGACACCAGCGCCCAGUUGCCCAGCCUGGAGCUGGUGCUUUCUCUGGAUGCAUCACGCUGAAGCAGCUGUGGCUGACCGGGCACCAUGGGAGCGCAGCAGAGCUCUGCCGCCCCUCCAGGGCAUAAUCCAGAGCCUCGCAGGUUGCAUCACGCCCGGCGGAGAGGAGAUGGCCUUCGGACUGUGUGUUUGGCUUAUCUGGGUCCCGGUCGACGGUCCGGGGCUGACCGACGGCUCCGCCGUGCGCAGCCGUCUCGGCGAUAAGAGCCGGGCUGGGCCCCAGCAGCGCCGGGGGGGGAGCGAGCCAACGGAAACCGCGCACAGCCACCGCAGCCGAGGUCCCAACCCGCCGCCUCGGCCCGUGGCUCGCCCCGUCCUGCCACACCGGCCCAAAGAUGGGGCACGGCAGCUCAGCGCCGCCGCACAGCCCCUGCCCCUGCCCCUGCCCCUGCCCUGGGGUUGCAGGCAAAGGCAGAGCCCAUCGCUGCGGUUGCCGGCGGGCGGUGCUGAGCUCAGCCUUGAGCAUCUCUGGUCCCGCCUGGGGUGCCGGGGUCCCCACGUCUAAGCAUCCUCCGUGUUGUCACUUACCUGCUCACCUUGGUUGCAGUAACGCCUACAAAUCCAAGCCGAGACCCUCGGGGAGCAUCCACAGCACCGCCCAGGCAGCCUUGGUGCGGGCCGGCGCUUUGCCUGACCCCGUUUCUGCGGGGAACCUGGCGAGAGGAGGCUUGGCCGAGGCGCUCCCGCUGCUCUCCCGCCCCAUCGGGAAGGGGCUGUGCGUCAGCCUCCCGAGACAUCUGCUGACAAAUUCUUCAUUAUGCCGUGGCCUUGCCUCCACAGGCAGCCAUAUGGCCCCAUGUUCUCCAGCGGGGCUGACACAGCAGCGCGUUCCCAGGUCCAGACUUUGCAUUUCAGGGAAAUUUCCUAUGAACAGAUUUUUGGCACUUUCUUAAAUGCACCUCUGACCCGUGCUGAACAAAUUAGGAUAUAUAAAUCCUCCAGGAGAUUUCUGGAGAACUCUUUCUCCCAGAUGGACAAUUCAUCAUGGCAAAGACCACAAGACUUUGCUCCACCAACCCAUAGCCAACAGCUAGCUGGUGCAAAAUGUGCUUAUUUUCAUCUUGCUUUCUCUAGCCAGGUGGAUGGCUUGGGUUUUGUUUCCAAGAAGUAAUCACUGGAAUAAAAAGCUCAGGCUAAAAA